rnacentral:rRNA from 1 species
GACGAACGCUGGCGGCGUGCUUAACACAUGCAAGUCGAACGGAAAGGCCCUUCGGGGUACUCGAGUGGCGAACGGGUGAGUAACACGUGGGUGAUCUGCCCUGCACUUUGGGAUAAGCCUGGGAAACUGGGUCUAAUACCGAAUAGGACCACGCGCUUCAUGGUGUGUGGUGGAAAGCUUUUGCGGUGUGGGAUGGGCCCGCGGCCUAUCAGCUUGUUGGUGGGGUAAUGGCCUACCAAGGCGACGACGGGUAGCCGGCCUGAGAGGGUGACCGGCCACACUGGGACUGAGAUACGGCCCAGACUCCUACGGGAGGCAGCAGUGGGGAAUAUUGCACAAUGGGCGCAAGCCUGAUGCAGCGACGCCGCGUGAGGGAUGACGGCCUUCGGGUUGUAAACCUCUUUCACCAUGGACGAAGCGUAAGUGACGGUACCUGGAGAAGAAGCACCGGCCAACUACGUG